rnacentral:rRNA from 1 species
UACAGAGGUCCCAAGCGUUGUUCGGAUUCACUGGGCGUAAAGGGUGCGUAGGUGGUCGGGUAAGUCCGAUGUGAAAUCUCCAGGCUCAACCUGGAAAUGGCAUUGGAUACUAUUCGGCUUGAGGAGUGGAGGGGGGACUGGAAUUCUCGGUGUAGCAGUGAAAUGCGUAGAGAUCGGGAGGAACACCGGUGGCGAAGGCGGCCAGCUGGCGCUGACCUGACGCUGAGGCGCGAAGGCAUGGGGAGCGAACGGG